GUAUCUGGAUGACUGUAUCAGACUAUAAUACCAAUCCCACAGUAAUUAUACUAGUUGGGAUUGGAAUCUUAACGAAAUACAUGUUUUAUUCAUUGAUAUCUGAAUGACUGUAUCAGACUAUAAUACCAAUCCCACAGUAAUUAUACUAGUUGGGAUUCGAUUCUUAACGAAAUGCAUGUUUUAUUUAUUGGUAUCUGGAUGACUGUAUCAGACUAUAAUACCAAUCCCACAGUAAUUAUACUAGUUGGUAUUGGAAUCUUGACGAAAUGCAUGUUUUAAUUUUUUGUAUCUGGAUGACUGUAUCAGACUAUAAUACCAAUCCCACAGUAAUUAUACAAGUUGGGAUUGGAAAUUUUCCCGAAAUGCAUGUUUUAAUUUUUUAUAAAUGGAUGACUGUGUCAGACUAUAAUACCAAUCCCACAGUAAUUAUACUAGUUGGGAUUGGAAUCUUGCCGAAAUGCAUGUUUUAAUUUUUGGUAUUUGGAUGACUGUAUCAGACUAUAAUACCAAUCCCACAGUAAUUAUACUAGUUGGGUUGAAAAAGACCUUUGUUUGAUGUUACCCUUACGAAAAUGUUCUAUAGAAUCCUAUAGAAUAUGGUAUAGAAUAUUCUAUAUCCUAUAGAAUAUUCAAUGGGACUUGCAAUCCUAUAGAAUAUUCUAUUGUCAUAUUCUAUAGAAGUUCCAGAUCCUAUAGAAUAUUCUAUUGCACAUUCAUAUGCAACAUCGAAUAACAUAUUCUAUAGAAUAUUUUCUAAUGAAAUAGUAUGGGAUAUUCUAUAGAUAAUUUCAUAGCAUGUGAUAAACCUAUAAUUGAUAUCGAUUUAAGCCUAAUUUAUACUGCCUAGUACACAGCAAAAAUCGGUGAAAGUAUUGUG